AAUAAAUAAAACGAAAACGGAAAACGAAGAGAAUUAAAGAACAGAACAAAAAAAAAUCAGAGUUGUGAAGUUCUGAUCCAAUUGGCUGAAUCCAUAAAAGGAAAAAACACCGCAUCUCUCUCUCAUUCCCCGUCUCUAUUUCCGAUUUCCUCCGUUCACCGGUAAACAAGUAUAAAAAAUUGAUUUUCGGUUUCUGAGAGUGAAAAAUAAAAAAUAAUUAGAAGAAGAAGAAACAAAGAAAAAGAGAUCUGUGCUUGGCUGGGGUUUCAAGCAUAAAUCAAUGAGGAAUUCCCGCGUGGAACUUGGGAGGCCUGCCUCAGG